GUCUUUUUGAUAAUAAUUUAAAGUCUAAUCUGCUCAAUGAAAAUUUAAAUAGCCGCAGUAUUUUGACUGUGCGAAGGUAGCGUGAUAAUUAGUUUCUUAAUUAGAAACUUGUAUGAAUGAUUGGACGAGAAAAUUUCUGUCUCUUUCUAAUUUAUUUUGAAUUUAACUUUUAAGUUAAAAGGCUUAAAUGUAUAUAAAAGACGAGAAGACCCCAUAGAGUUUUAUUUUUAAAAAAUUUUAGAAUUAUUAUUUAUUUGAAAAAUUUAGUUGGGGUAAUUUAAAGAUUUAAUUAAUUCUUUAAAAUUAAAAUCAUUGAUUUAUGAAUUUAAAAUCUAAAUUUUUAAAUUUAAAUAAAGUUACCUUGGGGAUAACAGCGUAAUUUCUUUUUAGAGUUCUUAUCAAAUAAUAAGAUUGCGACCUCGAUGUUGGAUUAAAAUUUAUUUUAGGUGUAGAAGCUUAAUUUUUAAGUCUGUUCGACUUUACGAAUU
rnacentral:rRNA from 1 species